GAUGAACGCUGGCGGCGUGCCUAAUGCAUGCAAGUCGAACGGGGAUGUGAGCUUCGGUUCACAUUCUAGUGGCGAACGGGUGAGUAACGCGUAAGAACCUGUCCUCAAGUGGGGGACAACCCCGAGAAAUCGGGGCUAAUACCGCAUGAAGUCGCUUAAGAGAUUAGGCGACCAAAGCCCUGUUUAGGCAGGGCGCUUGAGGAGGGGCUUGCGUCCGAUUAGCUAGUUGGUGGGGUAAGAGCCUACCAAGGUGAAGAUCGGUAGCUGGUCUGAGAGGAUGGACAGCCACACGGGGACUGAGAUACGGCCCCGACUCCUACGGGAGGCAGCAGCAGGGAAUAUUGCGCAAUGGGCGAAAGCCUGACGCAGCAACGCCGCGUGGGGGAAGAAGGCUCUCGGGUUGUAAACCCCUUUUCUUGGGGAAGAGUAAGGACGGUACCC
rnacentral:rRNA from 1 species